rnacentral:rRNA from 1 species
CCUUCAUGAAGCCGGAAUUGCUAGUAAUGGCAGGUCAGCAUACUGCCGUGAAUACGUUCCCGGGCCUUGUACACACCGCCCGUCACACCAUGAGAGUUGGGAAUACCCGAAGCCUGUGAGCUAACUUUUAGAGGCAGCAGUCGAAGGUAGAAUCAAUGAUUGGGGUGAAGUCGUAACAAGGUACC